rnacentral:rRNA from 1 species
CGCGUAGGUGGUAGUGUAAGUCUGGGGUGGAAUCCCAGGGCUCAACCCUGGAACUGCCUUGGAAACUGCAUUACUUGAGUCAGUGAGGGGAGGGUAGAAUUCCUGGUGUAGCGGUGAAAUGCGUAGAUAUCAGGAGGAAGGCCUGUGGCGAAGGCGGCCCUCUGGCGCUGGACUGACACUGAGGCGCGAAAGCGUGGGGAGCAAACAGGAUUAGAUACCCUGGUAGUCCACGCCCUAAACGGUGGGCACUAGGUGUAGGGCUCGUAAGGGUUCUGUGCCGAAGGGAAACCAUUAAGUGCCCCGCCUGAGGAGUACGGCCGCAAGGUUGAA